GACGAACGCUGGCGGCGUGCCUAAUACAUGCAAGUCGAACGAACUCUGGUAUUGAUUGGUGCUUGCAUCAUGAUUUACAUUUGAGUGAGUGGCGAACUGGUGAGUAACACGUGGGAAACCUGCCCAGAAGCGGGGGAUAACACCUGGAAACAGAUGCUAAUACCGCAUAACAACUUGGACCGCAUGGUCCGAGUUUGAAAGAUGGCUUCGGCUAUCACUUUUGGAUGGUCCCGCGGCGUAUUAGCUAGAUGGUGGGGUAACGGCUCACCAUGGCAAUGAUACGUAGCCGACCUGAGAGGGUAAUCGGCCACAUUGGGACUGAGACACGGCCCAAACUCCUACGGGAGGCAGCAGUAGGGAAUCUUCCACAAUGGACGAAAGUCUGAUGGAGCAACGCCGCGUGAGUGAAGAAGGGUUUCGGCUCGUAAAACUCUGUUGUUAAAGAAGAACAUAUCUGAGAGUAACUGUUCAGGUAUUGACGGUAUUUAACCAGAAAGCCACGGCUAACUACGUGCCAGCAGCCGCGGUAAUACGUAGGUGGCAAGCGUUGUCCGGAUUAUUGGGCGUAAAGCGAGCGCAGGCGGUUUUUAAGUCUGAUGUGAAAGCCUUCGGCUCAACCGAAGAAGUGCAUCGGAAACUGGGAAACUUGAGUGCAGAAGAGGACAGUGGAACUCCAUGUGUAGCGGUGAAAUGCGUAGAUAUAUGGAAGAACACCAGUGGCGAAGGCGGCUGUCUGGUCUGUAACUGACGCUGAGGCUCGAAAGUAUGGGUAGCAAACAGGAUUAGAUACCCUGGUAGUCCAUACCGUAAACGAUGAAUGCUAAGUGUUGGAGGGUUUCCGCCCUUCAGUGCUGCAGCUAACGCAUUAAGCAUUCCGCCUGGGGAGUACGGCCGCAAGGCUGAAACUCAAAGGAAUUGACGGGGGCCCGCACAAGCGGUGGAGCAUGUGGUUUAAUUCGAAGCUACGCGAAGAACCUUACCAGGUCUUGACAUACUAUGCAAAUCUAAGAGAUUAGACGUUCCCUUCGGGGACAUGGAUACAGGUGGUGCAUGGUUGUCGUCAGCUCGUGUCGUGAGAUGUUGGGUUAAGUCCCGCAACGAGCGCAACCCUUAUUAUCAGUUGCCAGCAUUAAGUUGGGCACUCUGGUGAGACUGCCGGUGACAAACCGGAGGAAGGUGGGGAUGACGUCAAAUCAUCAUGCCCCUUAUGACCUGGGCUACACACGUGCUACAAUGGAUGGUACAACGAGUUGCGAACUCGCGAGAGUAAGCUAAUCUCUUAAAGCCAUUCUCAGUUCGGAUUGUAGGCUGCAACUCGCCUACAUGAAGUCGGAAUCGCUAGUAAUCGCGGAUCAGCAUGCCGCGGUGAAUACGUUCCCGGGCCUUGUACACACCGCCCGUCACACCAUGAGAGUUUGUAACACCCAAAGUCGGUGGGGUAACCUUUUAGGAACCAGCCGCCUAAGGUGGGACAGAUGAUUAGGGUG
rnacentral:rRNA from 1 species